AUGAAUGACACCUCCUGUGCGAUUAUGAGCUGGAACGUCAGAGGGCUAAACUCGCCGGCAAAGAGAGCGGCGGUGAGCGGGGUAGUUAGCGCGCACAACCUAGUCAUCCUCUGUCUCCAAGAGACGAAGAUAGAUGCCUGGUCGCCGGCGCUCGUCCGGGAGAUUGGGGGCAGCCGUUUAGAUGGAUGUGCUGUGCUGCCCGCGAUCGGCACGUGCGGGGGAGCUGCCAUCUUUUGGGACUCAUCGUCAGCAAACUUGACAACACAUAGACUAGGUAGAUACUCCAUUACUGCUAGAGUUGAAAUGCUGCACUCAAAUACAGUUUUCUAG
rnacentral:rRNA from 1 species